GAUAGUCAGCUAAAAAAGCUUUCGGGCCCAUACCCCGAACAUGAUGGUUAAAAUCCUUCCCCCAUCA
rnacentral:tRNA from 1 species